rnacentral:lncRNA from 1 species
UUUUUUCUUCUAUGGAUUCUGCGGAAACUCAGAAAACAUGCUUCAAAGGUUACUGCUGGGAUUGCAUGAACAUGUCUUCCUAUGGGCUGGUGUAACUUGAAUACAAACGAUGCCUCUACAUUUUCAAUUAAUAUUUGAAUUUACAAUCUCGACAGUUUAGAAAUAAUUCAUAUAUUAUUAAGUGAUAGAAUUUUUGUUUAGAGCUGAUAAAUUAUUUUUUUGAAUCUAAUUGGAGCACGGUUAAAAAAAAGAGCAUGCAAGAAAAGGACCAAGCAUGUCAUGUGUUUAACGGCCCUCUCAUGAACUAUUGUGGACGUGUUGAAUCACUAUCGGGAGUCUCAAAGGAGAAAAGCAGGAGUUGAAGAUCUAACAGACACGAGCAUGGUAAGGGAAAAUUAUUAUUUAAUCCCUGAGUUUUUACAUAAUUAUUUAGGUAGUUUUUGACAUUUAUACAUAUAAAUAUAACGUCCUGAGGUUUGCCACCGUCAUAUUAAUUGGUCCUUCCAUCAAAAAAAUACACUUUUUCCAUUAAUUUUGAGAAGAAAAUAAGAAAUUAUCCUUUAAAAAAAUAAUUAUUUCGUCCCUGAGAUUUGGCAUAAUUAUUAAGUAGUCCUCGACAUUUAUACAAAUAUUUAUACCGUCCAUGAGAUUUACUUCCGUCAUAUUAAUUGGUCCUUCCAUAAAAAAAAUACACUUUUUCGGUUAAUUUUGAGCUGAAAAGACGAAAUUAUCCAUUAUAAGUUUUUAUUGACAUUAUUAUUAAUCCAUUUCCUCUAAAAUACCUCAAACUUACAUUUUCACUAACUUCCUCAACCCAACGCGUUCUUCAUUGCCACCACCGUAUCUCUGUCAAGUAUCAUCUUCAUAACUAGAUCACCAACAACACUAAAAGGGAAAAUAAUUAUUUCGUCGCUGAGAUUUGCCAUUAUUAUUUUAGUAAUCCAAAAAACACACUUUUUGCUGUUAAUUUUUAAUAAAAUGAUCAAACUAACCAAAAUCCUCUAAUCACGGAGAGAGAGAUAAAUGGAUGAAGGGUGAUGAUGUCUUGAUUGAGUUUGGAUGUUGGGUUUUGGUUUUGGCGGUGAUCUGAUUAAGGAGAUGAUAGUUUUCAUUAACAUGAUGGUGGCAAUGAAGACCGCGUUAGAUUGAGGGAGAUGGUGAAAAUGUGAGUUUGAGGUAUUUUAGGGGAAAUGGAUUAAUAAUAAUGUCGAUGAAAACUUAUAAAAGAUAAUUUCGUCUUUUCCACUCAAAAUUAACGGAAAAAGUGUAUUUUUUUUAUGAAAGGACCAAUUAAUAUAACGGAAGUAAACCUCAGGGACGUUAUAGAUAUUUGUAUAAAUGUCGGGGACUACUUAAUAAUUAUGGCAAACCUCAGGGACAAAAUAAUUAUUUUUCAAAAGAUAAUUUCGUCUUUUUUUCUCAAAAUUAACGGAAAAGUGUAUUUUUUUUACAGAAGGACCAUUUAAUAUGACGGUGGCAAACCUCAGAGACGUUAUAUAUAUAUGUAUAAAUGUCGAGGACUACUUAAAUAAUUAUGUAAAAUCUCAAGAACUAAAUAAUAA